AAGUCCAGUAAUGGCUGGAGCCGAGGCGUACUAACAGACCGAGGGCUUGACCUC
rnacentral:rRNA from 1 species